AAUCUCAGGAAAGCGAUGGUUGGAGUGAGUCUCGCCUUCCCCUUUCCCAUUACACUGGAAGCUAUCCCAGAAAUGUCACGAAAGCAGCAACAGCCUGCGCGCCCUACGCCAGGGAGGAACACGGAUCAACCGCUGGAGGAGGAAUUUUGGACAGGCGCGUUCCGUGAUCCUGAAGGAGCGCGCUGCUGCUUGGCUCGCGUCCGGGUCCGAGGAAAGGACAGCACAAGGAGACGCGCGUGUUCCGCAGAGCACGGACGCCGCCGCUCGCGGCCUCGGUGAAAAAAUAACGUAAUUGGAAACAUCGGCUCUGCUCGGCUGGCGUGUCGCACAGCGCGGUCGAGGUGGGAAAAAAAGCUUCGGCAAGCGAAUAUUUUGCUUUCGUUGUUCGCGGGACCGGACGUGGAGCGUCGCCCUGCCUCACGACAGAACGACAGAUUUCGAGAGAAGGAAGAAACUGGCCGCGUGUCACUACAUUACGGCAAAAAUAUUUAACGGAUUGCUUUCAUCUGUUUUUAUAAGCUUUUUGGUUCUCUGAACCGUUCUCUAGCUUGCCCUACUGGGCUGUAAAGUCAAACAGCGUAUUAAGGUGCUGUGUAAUGCACAGUAGUAGUCAGGGAACCAAAUAUAUAAUAAGGUUUGUUACUGAAUACUGCUUGUGUACAGCCCUACCAUUAAUGAUGCUGCAUUGCUAAAAAUGAAUAUUAAGUAGCUGGUGCAGGCAGCCCCCCACUAACCAGAGCAUGCCCCCCCUUCCUCCCCAAAACUGAGGGGGAUCGUAUGAACAGGCGAGGCAGGCAAAUAACUGGGGCCUGGAGCACUGAAUUCCCCUUACUGCUCAACUUUUAUUCCAACGACAAAUAUUCAUUUUGGAAACCAUCAGGGUCAUUGCCUGUCUCUGAGAAUUUGUACAGAAUUUGUAUUCAACUGUACAAUCGAAACUUUUGGCUUGGCCGUGAGCAAAACAUUAAAAAAAAAACAUGUUGAAGGCUUUGACUUUGGCCAUGUUGAACAAAAAAACAAUCUUUCUUGGAAAAGAUAUAUCAAACUCGAUUGUCUAUCGAAGGCUAGCCAUUGUGUGUUUAAAAACCACAGAUCAUCUCUGGCAAGGUCUUUUUUCAUUGUAGACUUAAGUUAAGAAACCAGAUGUGACUUCUUUCAUUGCUGGAAGCUCAGAGGACUCUUUUUUCCAAAUAUACUUUCCGUGUAUAUUAAAGGUUGUUGCUUUCAACAAAAAUAAGUAUUACCAAGACCGGCCAUUGACAGUAACUAGGUGGCAGUUGUUUUUUAAAAAGUCAUACAAAACAAUAUCUAUUUUAGUGACUAUAAAUAAAGCAUACCUGCCUCCAACCUUUGGAAAAUGUACCAAGUGAGCCAAGGAGGACCGAGCCAGUGUAAAUAUAAUGAUAUAUAUUUGGAAUAAACACAUGGCAAAAAAUAGACACCUGAAUUUUCUAUUUUGUGAGUUCAUACUGGCCUGUUUCCAAAAAAGACAGCGGUACUUUUCCAAAUCCUCGCCUGAUAGUGCCAGAAGGAGCAAGAUGCAUUCUUAAAAGAAAAUGGAGAUACUGUAUCUAAGGAGCACAGCUGACUUUACCCAGGACUCCACAUUUAUUUUCACACAUAUAUAUUUAUAUAUUUAUACAUGCAUUAUUUUCACACAUAUAUGAAGUAUUAUUUAUUUUCCACAUUUUACUUAAACUUCAAGUGCCCACAGUCAGUAUUUAGGAAACGGCUACUGCAGCUUGGUUUUGCACCUAUUUAUUUAUUUAUUUUUUUACAAGUCUUUAGUAUAAAUAGUCUCUGUUCUGUUUUUCUGGGCAGGUAAAGACGGGGAAGGGGAUUUUGUUUAACCUCUGCGGUUGGUCGUCCAAACAGCGGCCUUCGGCAGUGUGGGGGUGGGAACCCAAUUUUGGAGAGUGAUAGCCUCUCUCUCACUUGCAGAUCUCCUCGUUGGGCUUAUCUGGAGAGCAGAAUUAAUCCAACCUUCAUCAGCCCUUUACUCUCUCCUGACUGUCUAUAGGGUCUCCAUACAGGCUGUUCCAAUUUCGGCCUCCUGCCGGCAUCCCCCCCGCCCAGUUCCGACAGAUGGUUCGCUCCAGUUUCUACCCACUUCCUGUUGUGAAGCCCUUGGCACUGUACCGUACCAAAGAAACGUCCCCUAAAGGGGAAUCUUUGCCUCUACGCUCCCUUUAUGACAUCAUAAGCCUUGAUGCUUCCCUCCCUCCCUCUCCCAGGUGUGCUGAGGUUCUGAGGUGUUCUUGCUGCGGUCGGGAGCGAGACCCGGCGGCCGGAUUCCUUUCUCGCACGCAGCCGUUUCCUGAGCGAGAAGCGGGGCCACAGAGGAGGAGCGGGUUCGAGGUGUCGGUUGUCUGCAGUCGGCAGUAGGGCGGGUGCUGGCGAUGGAGAUGGCCGGGAGGGAUCCUCGUAGCGCAUUACGACUCGCUUCGUGUUUGUGCGUCCAAAAAUGAUCAUAUUUCACACCUUAUUUUUCUUCACACACAUUAUCAACAUUUGCUGACACCCUGUCAUAACAUGUGAACCACAGCUUACAGUAUACAAAA